rnacentral:rRNA from 1 species
UACGUAGGUGGCGAGCGUUGUCCGGAUUUACUGGGCGUAAAGGGAGCGUAGGCGGAUUUUUAAGUGAGAUGUGAAAUACUCGGGCUUAACCUGAGUGCUGCAUUUCAAACUGGAAGUCUAGAGUGCGGGAGAGGAGAAGGGAAUUCCUAGUGUAGCGGUGAAAUGCGUAGAGAUUAGGAAGAACACCAGUGGCGAAGGCGCUUCUCUGGACCGUAACUGACGCUGAGGCUCGAAAGCGUGGGGAGCAAACAGG